rnacentral:rRNA from 1 species
CAAGUCGAACGAGGCGGCCACUGAUUGAUGGAAGUUGGAGUGCUUGCACAAAAAUGGAAAUCUUUGACGUGGAUCCUCCGCCUAGUGGCGCAAGGGUGAGUAACACGUGGGUAAUCUGCCUUCGAGUCUGGAAUAACAGUUAGAAAUGAUUGCUAAUGCCGGAUGAUAUAAGGAAUGAUACGUCUUUCCUUAUUAAAAGGGGCCUUUAAAGCUUCGCUUGAAGAUGAGCCUGCGGCGUAUUAGAUAGUUGGUGGGGUAACGGCCUACCAAGUCAACGAUGCGUAGCCGACCUGAGAGGGUGAUCGGCCACACUGGGACUGAGACACGGCCCAGACUCCUACGGGAGACAGCAGUUAGGAAUAUUCGUCAAUGGGGGAAACCCUGAACGAGCAAUGCCGCGUGAAGGAUGACGGUCCUAUGGAUUGUAAACUUCUGUUGUUAGGGAAGAACGAGUUGUAUAGGAAAUGAUACAGCAGUGACGGUACCUUUCAAGAAAGCUCCGGCUAACUACGUGCCAGCCGCCGC